AUGCUAGUGGUACAUAAUUUCUUGUACUUAUGGGUGUCCAUACUUUCACGUGGGUGGACCCCUUAAGUACAAGAAAUUAUGUACCACUAGAAUUAUUCUUUUAA
rnacentral:miRNA from 1 species